GGAUCAGUUGAUCGGUCGUGCCUCGGUACGUACUGGUCAAAUUGAUUCCUACCUUCUGACGAACCACGAUGUCAUUAAUUUGGUGUCGCGGGAAAUCAGGACUGUUACUUUGAAAAAAUUAGAGUGUUUAAAGCAGGCUCGCGCUUGAAUACAUUAGCAUGGAAUAAUGAAAUAGGACGUUUGAUUCUAUUUUGUUGGUUUCUAGGAUCGACGUA
rnacentral:rRNA from 1 species